rnacentral:rRNA from 1 species
AACGUAGGUGGCAAGCGUUAUCCGGAUUUACUGGGCGUAAAGGGUGUGCAGGCGGGGUAGCAAGUGGGGUCUGAAAUCUCCAGGCUUAACCUGGAGGGGUUAUGCCAGACUGCUGCUCUAGAGGACGAGAGAGGGGGGUGGAAUUCCGGGUGUAGUGGUGAAAUGCGUAGAGAUCCGGAGGAACCCCAGAGGCGAAGGCGGCCCCCUGGCUCGUACCUGACGCUCAGCCACGAAAGCAUGGGGAGCGAACGGG